GGCGGGACACGUGGUAUCCUGUCUGAAUAUGGGGGGACCAUCCUCCAAGGCUAAAUACUCCUGACUGACCGAUAGUGAACCAGUACCGUGAGGGAAAGGCGAAAAGAACCCCGGCGAGGGGAGUGAAAAAGAACCUGAAACCGUGUACGUACAAGCAGUGGGAGCACCCUUUGGGGUGUGACUGCGUACCUUUUGUAUAAUGGGUCAGCGACUUAUAUUCUGUAGCAAGGUUAACCGAAUAGGGGAGC
rnacentral:rRNA from 2 species